rnacentral:sRNA from 1 species
AGGAAUGAGAAUCGUAAAGGUUCGAGUCGAGCGAAGCGAGACAGCAGCGCGUAGCGUUGACCCGAAGGGCGAGUCCGCAGGACGAGUAAUCCUGCACGACCGACC